rnacentral:rRNA from 1 species
CGCAUUUAUUAGACCAAAACCAACCGGCUUUUGCCGUUGCUUGGUGAAUCUGAAUAACUACGUAAAUCGCACAGUCAAAGAACUGGCGAUAAGUCUUUCAAGUGUCUGCCUUAUCAACUUUCGAUGGUAGUUUAUAUGCCUACCAUGGUAAUAACGGGUAACGGAGAAUUAGGGUUCGACUCCGGAGAGGGAGCCUGAGAAAUGGCUACCACAUCCAAGGA